rnacentral:misc_RNA from 1 species
GAUUAAGAACGUAGCAAAAUGCGAUAAGUAAUGUGAAUUGCAGAAUUCAGUGAAUCAUCGAAUCUUUGAACGCACAUUGCGCCCGCCAGUAUUCUGGCGGGCAUGCCUGUUCGAGCGUCAUUUCAACCCUCAAGCCCUCGGGUUUGGUGUUGGGGAUCGGCGAGCCUUUCUGGCAAGCCGGCCCCGAAAUCUAGUGGCGGUCUCGCUGCAGCCUCCAUUGCGUAGUAGUAAAACCCUCGCAACUGGAACGCGGCGCGGCCAAGCCGUUAAACCCCCAACUUCUGAAUGUUGACCUCGGAUCAGGUAGGAAUACCCGCUGAACUUAAGCAUAUCAAUAAGCGGAGGA